CUCAUUACCAAGUUAGUCUUUAUGCUAACAAUUAUUGUGAGUAAUUAUCAAUAGUGUCCACUGCCUUUAAUAUGGAAGAUUUAAGUUCGCUCUACCGUCAUAAGGGUCUAUAUGUUUUACAAUCUCUUAAGCCGUCUCUAAACUGUAUACAGCCAUUCAGUAGGUGUACAUAUUAAAUGUAGUUGUAGCUGCUUAUAUUAUUAGUGGAUAAAAGAGUGAGAAAGAGUGAGAGACAGAGAGAUGGUGGAUGAUAACGUGUGAGUGCAUGAGCCACUUUGUAGGGAAAACAAAACUUGUUGGAGUUGUUGAUUAAGAGUUGUUGACAUUGUUCGGAUAACAUAAAAUAUGUAGACCAUGCCUUGAUUUACAGGGAGGCUAUUGGAGGAUUGGCCUUGGUGCCCCUUUAAAAGUUUGUCAUACAAUGGAGCAUAAUUUUCUGACUAACCAUUUUAAGAUAUGAAGGACACUGACACUACUUGGUUUGUGUAAAUUUGUCUCCAUACACAUCUUCACCAAACCAAACAGUCCUUUGUGUCCGCGGUUUCUCAAAAAGACUUGUGGAAGUGCUCUUUGCAAAAUGAAAAUGGCCUUGAUAAAAUUUUAGGCUUGUGAUCUUGGACAUUUUGCGCGUACACACAACCAGCGUUGUGGGCGCAAACACCGUGAUCUUUGAACCAAGACUAAGUAGUUCUCAGAAAUUUACCCCUGCUUAAAACAGUCUGCAUUUUUCAGAAGGAAGAAAAUUAAAAAAAACAACUCUAACAAGUUUUACAAGAUUUAAAAAUGCUAACUGCCUUAUAGUAUGAAGCAAGAUUUCAAUAAUCAUCAUUCAAAGGGGCUGGUUUCAUCAGGCAAAAAGAAGUAAAACUUGAAUUUCAAUCAAAUAUAAUAUUAUCAAAUAUAAACAAAUUGUAUAAGUAUUAUUAGUGGGAAACUUUGAUUAACCUAAAGAUCAUUUUAAUUUAUAUGGGGAAAUUUGCUGUCGUUUAUUUAAUUUAUUGGGUGGUAUGGUGGUUUUGUUUUGUUUUGAGAAUCAGUGGGGUAUAAAAAUUACAGCAGGGUUUAAAAUCAGUAUUUAUGAUUAUAUUAUAUAAAAUAAAUCAUGGGUAUUGAUGUUGACAUCUUUGUUAUGUUUUGAUGUGACAAACAGGCACUGCUCUGGGUCCAAUUUCAUGUCAAGCUUACACGUCAAGUGCAGAAUCGUGAUUGUAAGCGCAGAAUUCUGCGGUACAGCAGAGCCAUGAAUCUGGGCCCUGGUUUUUUGCCAUUCCGCUUUUAUUGUGAGAAAACCUAGCUGUCUUGAAUCUUAUCUAAAUCAAAAUUAUUUCACUCCUAAAUAUUUAAUUGACAAGAGUUUUGCUUGAAACUCAGUUGAUGAAAAUAAUAAUGACUUUUCGAUUGUCUUAAGUUUUAUAUCCUAAGAUUUGUAUUUGGUUUCCAUUAUCAAACUUGCAAUUUUUAGAUUAUGCUUAUGGAUGUUUCAUUGAUUCAAUUUAGCAUAUUUUUGUCUAAUUUGCUUUUUUUUUUGUAUAGGACAGUUUAGUUGGAUUCAAAACCGUGUUAUUAUGAAGUUUGAUAACAUGUACAAAUGUUUAACAUUCAUAUAAUAUUAUGUGCAAUUUGAAUGCAUUAAAAUUGUGCAUUUUAAUCUAGCUAAAAGAAAUAGUGAUUGUUUGUUUGGUGGGGCGGGGGGGGGGGGGGGGGGUUGAGAUCCUAAAAUGGAUUUCUAUAAAACACAAACGAUGUGAUAUUAUGUUCUAGUUUGUUUUAAUUUUGUUGCUUUGUUUUUAUUUGAGUGCACCAUAUUCACAUUGGUAACCAGUUGCGGGAUACCGGUAUAUACAAGGGUACAUUGAUCAGACAUGGGCAAGUUCGAUCAGCGACCAACAGUUAACCACUAGUCAAUGUUCCAUGGAUACCUAUGCAUGAAACACAUCAUGGGUACCAGGCAAAAUCGCCAACUGGUCGACAAUAGACCUUCAUCAUGGUGCAGCCAUCUUGAAUUUCUCCCAUUGAUAUCAAAUUGAAUGUUUCUGAACCGAGGCUGGACGAACAAAAUAGUCUGGUUCCUAUUUGCAAACUUAUUAUUAGCAUUCAUUAUUGUUACCCGAUACGAAGAACAAGACCAAGAUGGCGACAGCAUGAUAAAGGUCUAUAGUCAUCUUAUAGUCCCUUGAUCUAGCUUGCUUCAUGUCAAUCAAACUCUAACUGGUAUAAUACCAUGAUAAAGGUCUAUAGUCAUCUUAUAGUCCCUUGAUCUAGCUUGCUUCAUGUGAAUCAAACUCUAACUGGGAUAAUACCAUGAUAAAGGUCUAGAAUCAUCUUAUAGUCCCUUGAUCUAGCUUGCUUCAUGUGAAUCAAACUCCAACUGGUAUAAUACCAUGAGAAAGUUCUAUAAUCAUCUUAUUGUCCCUUGAUCUAGCUUGCUUCAUGUGAAUCAAACUCUAACUGGUAUAAUACCAUGAUAAAGGUCUAUAGUCAUCUUAUAGUCCCUUGAUCUAGCUUGCUUCAUGUGAAUCAAACUCUAACUGGUAUAAUACCAUGAGAAAGUUCAAUCUGCAAUAUAUUUAAGACGCGUCAGGUAAAUUUUCUUAACUGUUGUACUUCAGAAGAAAAAAAAUAGCGAGGAGGAAAAAAACAAGUGUUGCCAGUGGGUAUUUUGUUGCGUAGGACAAAAUAAUUGUUCAAAUGUCUCUUGACAAAAAAAAAGGAAAAUGGACUUGGUUAUACAGCAGUAAGCAAAGUUGUUUUGAUUUUGUAGUGUAUUGAUGUACUAAAACACCACAGAGAAAUCAACUUAAACAAAAUUACAAUAAAAAUGUUGGUAUAUAAGGUCAGGAUUGUGUUCAUAUUUACUGAAUGUUUGCACAUCUGAUGAAAUUAACUGAAUAAUAAUCUGAAUGUAAGCUUUGAAAUGUCUUAAUUAAACUUGUUAAUUAAAUACUAGGGUAUGAUAAACAUGAAUAAAAGCACUUAAAGAUUGUAUCUGUGCUUUGUAUUAAAAAGGAAUACAAACUUGAAAAAUAU